GAUGAACGCUGGCGGCGUGCCUAAUACAUGCAAGUCGAGCGAAUGGAUUAAGAGCUUGCUCUUAUGAAGUUAGCGGCGGACGGGUGAGUAACACGUGGGUAACCUGCCCAUAAGCCUGGGAUACCUCCGGGAAACCGGGGCUAAUACCGGAUAACAUUUUGAACCGCCUGGUUCGAAAUUGAAAGGCGGCUUCGGCUGUCACUUAUGGAUGGACCCGCGUCGCAUUAGCUAGUUGGUGAGGUAACGGCUCACCAAGGCAACGAUGCGUAGCCGACCUGAGAGGGUGAUCGGCCACACUGGGACUGAGACACGGCCCAGACUCCUACGGGAGGCAGCAGUAGGGAAUCUUCCGCAAUGGACGAAAGUCUGACGGAGCAACGCCGCGUGAGUGAUGAAGGCUUUCGGGUCGUAAAACUCUGUUGUUAGGGAAGAACAAGUGCUAGUUGAAUAAGCUGGCACCUUGACGGUACCUAACCAGAAAGCCACGGCUAACUACGUGCCAGCCGCCGCCGUAA
rnacentral:rRNA from 1 species